CAGGGCGGGCAGGCUGCUCAGGGACAGAGGGCUCCAAAGCUUGGGACACACACCCCGAGUACGGGGCCGUCGCAUUGACAAGCCACCAUCAGGCAACGAUGCCGAGGGGCCGGGGGAGGAAGAGGGGCAGGGAAACGGCACUACCCUGCUUACAGGGUGGCCUUGGGGUCCGGCGAGCUCCAUUUCCCACUCAGGUGCGGAGAGGUGGCUCUCGCCCUCCGUUACAGGGGGCCACGCUCCCCAGGCAGCCCUAGGAGCAGCAAGGCAAAAGGCCAACUACAGCAAAGACCCGAGCCCCGCUUACGGGGAGGUCGCCCAGCACAACGCCAGCCUGGUCACCAAAGGCGCCGGCAGCUCUCAACUCAAACGUGACUGUGCCCCUGCUAACGGGACAGGUGCUUUGCCCAGGGAGCCUCUCUCCUUCCCCCCCGCAUCUGCACGCUUCCGCUUCCUCUUCUUGCUUGCUCCUGCCUCCCAGGUCCCCACACCGCUUCUUCUUCUUCCUUCUGCAGCAGCUC
ensembl:lncRNA